CAGAGACAGCCAGCUUCCCCUGUGGCCGCCAGAAGAGCCCCCCUGUGGCCGCCAUCCAAGUUCUCCCUGCGGCUGCCAGCACACCUAUCUGUCUGCCCACCCACAGGUAGCAAAAAGCAUGUAUGUCAGUCUGUCAGUGGGAGUGUGUGUGUUUGUGUCAUGCUGUGUGUGUCUGUCUGUCAUGCUGUGUGUGUAUCUGUCUGUGCCAUGGUGUGUGUGUGUGUCUGUGUCAUGCUGUGUGUGUGUCUGUCUGUCAUGGUGUGUGUGUGUGUGUCUGUCUAUGUCAUGCUGUGUGUGGGGCUGUCUGUCAUGGUGUGUGUCUGUCUGUCUGUGUCAUGGUGUGUGUCUGUCUGUGUCAUGCUGUGUGUGUGUCUGUCUGUCAUGGCGUGUGUGUGUGUGUGCAUGUCUGUCUGUCUGUGUCAUGGUGUGUGUCUGUCUGUGUCAUGCUGUGUGUCUGUCUGUCAUGGUGUGUGUGUCUGUCUGUGCCAUGGUGUAUGUGUG